AACAUAAAGUGGCAUCUCCCACAACAACAUUGGUACAAACUAAAUAGAGAUGGAGCCUUCCAGACCAAUGGAAAUAAAUUGGGCAUAAGGGGUAUGUUCAGAAACCACUUGGGCAACUCGGUAAUGGGAUACCAAAAGGCUGAUUGUGCUCUUUCUCCACGACACGUUGAACUGCAGGUAAUCCAUGUAGGCCUUCAAAUAGCAACAACAUUCGAUCUAUUCCCACUUGAAGUGGAAACAGACUCUACAGUAGCAAUCAAAGCAAUUAACCAGGACCAUAUUGUUUUAUCUAACACUGUGCAUGCAUGCAGAUUAUUAAUGCUCCAGCAAAAACACCUACUCUUGCGACAUAAUUUUCGUGAAGGGAACCAAGUGGCGCAUCUACUGGCAAAAGAUGCAACCAAGAAGGAAUACAAACACCACUACAGUGAUAAUCCAAAGCUCCAUGCAAGUCCACCUCAUUUUAUAAACCAAC
rnacentral:lncRNA from 1 species